CUGCUAUCGGUGAAGAGGGUGAAAAAGUGGAUGUUCUUAACAACUGGCCACCUCCUCCUGAGUCUCUGGAUUCUUCUCAGUGGAAUGCGCUACGCCAAAUUCUCACGAAAAGAUUGGCUAUCGUACAAGGUCCGCCGGGAACCGGCAAAACUCAUGUCUCCGUCAUUGCAUUGAGGUUGCUCCUUGCAACCAUACCCUUCACUGAUCCACCCAUUAUCAUCGCGGCUCAGACAAAUCACGCACUGGACCAGUUGCUUCGCCAUGUUGCGUUGUUCGAAAUGAAUUAUGUUCGGCUUGGUGGAAGGAGCACGGAUAUGGACAUAAAGAAGCGGACUAUCUUCG
rnacentral:sRNA from 2 species